AUUAUAUUUUAAAUAUUAUUUUGUUUGUUUUUUGUUCUUGUUGUUGUGUUCUGUUCGUUUUAGUUUAAUAUGCUUAGAUAAUAUUAAUUGCAUUUAAGUUUUGUUGUUUUGGAAUUGGUAUUUAUUAUUCUUUAAAAUUAUUAUUAGAGUAGAGUAAAUUAAAUAGAAGUUCUUGUGAGGUGGCAAUAAAGAGGUUCCACUUGUCAUUAGUUUUUAACGUAACUAUAAUUUUUCCAUAAUUUCGAGUGUUUAGAAUACAUAGAAAACAAAUCAUUUUUGAUGUUAGUUAAUAAUAACGAUUAAUCCAGACACAAGAUAUUUUUAUAGGUAUAAUAAGGUAUUGUUAUAAGCAAUAAAAAACAUAUAUAUUUAAGAAAUAUAUAGUAAAUAACAAUAAUUGGUUUAUACAUUUCUAAAGUGAGGGUAAAUAAAUAUUUUUUCCGACUCAUUAAAAUUAAAAUAAAGCAGUAAUUUUGUUUAUUUUUCUAUAAUAUUUUUAUUACAAUAUAUGUAAAUAGUAAUGAAAUGAGAAAAAUUUUAAACGUAACGUUAAAGAGGUUGAACAAAACGCACUUUUUGAAACUAUCAAACUCAAGAUAUCAGCUAAUUAGAGACUGGCAAUCUUGCAACUACUUUUUUUGUGUAGUAAAUAGUAAAAAAAUAAAAAAAAAACUUUUAAAUCUGUCGAUUCUUCCAACGUUAAUGUCUUAAUACAGGUUGUAAUAAUUCAUGUCAGGCCGCAAUGAUAAGGUGUUCCACAACAUUUUCAAAACAUGGCGAAAUAUCAAAAUAUAUACACCUUUUGCAUACCUUUCGUACUGUGUUUUCGAUUACAAAAGUAUUUUGAAUGGUAGAAAAAUACAGGGAACAUCAAGUGAGGUUGUACAACAAACGUAGCAACAAACACAUACAAAUUUGUUUUUGUACGUAAUACAAUAUGUCCAAAAAUGUAUACAAAACAAUUUAUUUUCAAUAAUUUAUGUUAAUUUUUGCAAUUUGGAUUUUUACAGCCUGUUUCACGAUAUCGCACACCUUUAACACAAAAAACAGUUGAUUUCCAUCCCACUAAAAUUCAUCAGAACGAGAAAUUGUACGAAAAUCAAAGCGAAUGAAAACGCAAGCAUUUCAGUGUAAUUGCGUUCCACUAUAUUUUUUCAUUUGCACGCAUGCGAACGCAAAUGUCAAAAUCAGUCAUUUGUGCAUUUUCUGUCGUCUGACUAUAAUUCAGGAGAAUUUUUUGCCUUUAAUGGAAAAUUGAAACAAAAAGCAUGAAAAAAUCAUCUACUACACAGCUGUGGGCGCUAGUUAUUUAUAUGGAGGAGAUUCCUGAGUUCGCCAGAGGAGUGCCAAUACUGGAAAAAAUAUGUUUUAAAAUUAUGUUUAAAUGCAGAGUUGUUGGAUUCUCCUUCUCGCACAAUUGCACAAAUCAAUUGAACACAAUCACUGGGAAACUCAGAUAUUAUUUUGUUUCUUUAUUUACAAUUUGUUUGUUUACAAUUGAACUCUCAUUUCAGGCAGAGCCAGCUUACGUAUGGCGUUUUUCUGUUUAUUUUCACGAUUAAUUUUUUCAAAGGUAUAUUUAGCAACACUGAGUCAUGUAAGUCUAUGCGAAAGAACGAACGAAUGUUAGUGGAACGCAUUCUGAUACGAAAGAGUGACAAGCUUUCGUUCGCAUAAAUUUUCUUUCGAUAUCGUGGAACAGGCUGUAAAUGUCAAAAGUCGCUUAUGUGUUUGCUUUCGGGGAUUAUAAAUCAGGAAAAUUGUUUCAACAUAAAUAUUGCUUUGAUUGGUAAAAACAAUAAAUACAAUUAUGAAAUGUCAACAAGAAAUAUAUUUUUAAUUUCCUUGCAUUUUUUACGUCUUUUUCGCGUUAAAUCUGUCAUUUUGGCGUUUUUUUGUUUAGGUAUAUUUAGCACCACUGAGUCACAUAAGGCUAUGCGAAAGAACGAAUGAAUGUUAUUAAAAUGCAUUCUGAUAGGAAAGUGAGUGACUAGCUUUCGUUCGCACAAAUUUUCUUUCGAUAUCGUGGAACAGACCAUGGUAGAACAAUACAGGUAGUCGCAUCGACACAGCCGCUGGAACAAUGAACUGUUAAACCGAUUUUGGAAUUGAAAAUCUUGAAUGAAAAAGUAUUGAAAUUUGUAAAAAUU